GUAGCUCAGCUGGAUAGAGUACUUGACUACGAAUCAAGGGGUCGGGGGUUCGAAUCCUC
rnacentral:tRNA from 1 species